AUACGGAGGGGACAAGCGUUAUUCGGAAGCACUGGGCGUAAAGGACGCGUAGGCGGGUUAUUAAGUCGGGUGUGAAAUCCAAUGGCUCAACCAUUGAACUGCAUUCGAAACUGAUAACCUAGAGUAUGGAAGGGGCAGGUGGAAUUAGUGGUGUAGGGGUAAAAUCCGUAGAUAUCACUAGGAAUACCGAAAGCGAAGGCGACCUGCUGGGACAUUACUGACGCUGAGGCGUGAAAGCGUGGGGAGCAAACAGGAUUAGAAACCCCAGUAGUCC
rnacentral:rRNA from 1 species